UGGGAAACUGAUAGUCUAGAGUGAGGGAGAGGCAGAUGGAAUUGGUGGUGUAGGGGUAAAAUCCGUAGAUAUCACCAAGAAUACCCAUUGCGAAGGCGAUCUGCUGGAACUCAACUGACGCUAAGGCGCGAAAGCGUGGGGAGCAAACAGGAUUAGAUACCCUGGUAGUCCACGCCCUAAACGAUGUACACUAGUUGUUGGGGUGCUAGUCAUCUCAGUAAUGCAGCUAACGCAUUAAGUGUACCGCCUGGGGAGUACGGUCGCAAGAUUAAAACUCAAAGGAAUAGACGGGGACCCGCACAAGCGGUGGAGCAUGUGGUUUAAUUCGAAGAUACGCGAAGAACCUUACCUGGGCUUGAUAUCCUAAGAACCUUUUAGAGAUAAGAGGGUGCUAGCUUGCUAGAACUUAGAGACAGGUGCUGCACGGCUGUCGUCAGCUCGUGUCGUGAGAUGUUGGGUUAAGUCCCGCAACGAGCGCAACCCACGUAUUUAGUUGCUAACGGUUCGGCCGAGCACUCUAAAUAGACUGCCUUCGUAAGGAGGAGGAAGGUGUGGACGACGUCAAGUCAUCAUGGCCCUUAUGCCCAGGGCGACACACGUGCUAC
rnacentral:rRNA from 1 species